GACGAACGCUGGCGGCGUGCUUAACACAUGCAAGUCGAGCGAUGAAGUUCCUUCGGGAAUGGAUUAGCGGCGGACGGGUGAGUAACACGUGGGUAACCUGCCUCAUAGAGGGGAAUAGCCUUUCGAAAGGAAGAUUAAUACCGCAUAAGAUUGUAGUAUCGCAUGAUACAGCAAUUAAAGGAGUAAUCCGCUAUGAGAUGGACCCGUCGUCGGAUUAGCUAGUUGGUGAGGUAACGGCUCACCAAGGCGACGAAGCGUAGCCGACCUGAGAUGGUGAUCGGCCACAUUGGGACUGAGACACGACCCAGACUCCUACGGGAGGAAGCAGUGGGGAAUAUUACACAAUGGGGGAAACCCUGAUGCAGCAACGCCGCGUGAGUGAUGACGGUCUUCGGAUUGUAAAACUCUGUCUUCAGGGACGAUAAUGACGGUACCUGAGGAGGAAGCCACGGCUAACUACGUGCCAGCAGCCGCCGUAA
rnacentral:rRNA from 1 species